rnacentral:rRNA from 1 species
UACGUAGGGUGCGAGCGUUAAUCGGAAUUACUGGGCGUAAAGCGUGCGCAGGCGGUUUUGUAAGCCAGAUGUGAAAGCCCUGGGCUCAACCUGGGAAUUGCAUUGGAUACUGGCAGGCUAGAGUGCGGUAGAGGAUGGCGGAAUUCCCGGUGUAGCAGUGAAAUGCGUAGAGAUCGGGAGGAACAUCUGUGGCGAAGGCGGCCAUCUGGACCAGCACUGACACUGAGGCACGAAAGCGUGGGGAGCAAACAGG